GGCAGCAUGGAGGAGUGGUUUGAGCAUUGGACUAUAACUCUAAAGACCAGGGUUUAAAUCCCAGUCCAGCCA